ensembl:lncRNA
GAGCAGCUUUCUCUGUAUACAAGACAAAACUAAAGAGAUCUGUGAUAUAUAUAGAUACAGUACAUAUACAGCUGAACUGCACUUUAUACUAAAUACCAAUUUGGGAAACUUUGUUCCAAUUCGUAUGCAUCCGAACAGCUCCCGGUCCCAGCUGGGGGCAGGUGUGUGUGAUGGUUUGUCGUAGCGGGGUGUGGAGGAACUAGACGGCUCGGAUGAGGAAGAUUAUGCAUGGCUGAAGACGAGCCAUCGCCGGCCUGAUGGGAGGAGGGCGUCAGAGGAUGAGGGUGUGUGAGGGUGAGGUUGUGUUAGGCUGAGGGUGAGGGUGUGUGAGGGUGAGGUUGUGUUAGGUUGAGGAUGAGGGUGUGUGAGGGUGAGGUUGUGUUAGGCUGAGGGUGAGGGUGUGUGAGGGUGAGGUUGUGUUAGGUUGAGGAUGAGGGUGUGUGAGGGUGAGGUUGUGUUAGGCUGAGGGUGAGGGUGUGUGAGGGUGAGGUUGUGUUAGGCUGAGGGUGAGGGUGUGUGAGGGUGAGGUUGUGUUAGGUUGAGGGUGAGGGGAGUGUGAGGGUGUGAGAGACGCUGAUGAUUGGGGAGCGAGUUGGGAACCAGUCUCUCUUAAUUGCAUCGACUUCCUCGAUGCAAUCAACUGGGAACCGGUCAGAUCCCACGACGGGACCCCUCAGAUCUGUGUUUGUGUGUCCCAAGACGACAGGACGUUGUCAGCAGUUACGUCAUCAUCGCAUGCGUCAGUGGAUUGUUUUUUUAAGGAGAGCAGCUCCACUUCCUCCCGUGUUCCUCCUCACUCCCUCCUCC